GAGAUGAUGGGUAUAACAGUGGUGUUUGUGUGGGUACCGGCACAUAUUGGAGUGAGAGGGAAUGAGGUGGUAGAUAAGGUGGCAAAAGAGGCAACAAAAUGUGAAGAAAUUGAAUUACGCAUAAAUAUCAGCAAGAUGGAGGGUAAAAACAUAAUUAAAAGGAAAAUGAAGGAGAAAUGGCAGAAGAGCAGAAGGGAAGAAACCGUAAUAUCACGGUUAAGAUUUGGACAUACAGGGCUAAAUGCAUCGUUGUUUAUGGUUGGAAAACAUGACACAGGGAGGUGUGAUCAUUGUGAGGAGCAGGAAACUGUAGA